UACGAAGGGGGCUAGCGUUGUUCGGAAUUACUGGGCGUAAAGCGUAUGCAGGCGGACUUUUAAGUUGGGGGUGAAAUCCCGAGGCUCAACCUCGGAACUGCCUUCAAUACUGGAAGUCUUGAGUCCGGGAGAGGUGAGUGGAACUCCGAGUGUAGAGGUGAAAUUCGUAGAUAUUCGGAGGAACACCAGUGGCGAAGGCGGCUCACUGGCCCGGUACUGACGCUGAGAUACGAAAGCGUGGGGAGCAAACAGG
rnacentral:rRNA from 1 species